rnacentral:lncRNA from 1 species
CCCAGUGUUAAUGCUUGUCAGUACCAUUCGUAGCUAGUUCGUGACAAUCAUCACAUGGCAUGUACCACAAUUGAAUAUUUUUUCUAAUAUAUCUAUAGUAGAUAUUGCCGUGAACACAAAAUCCUACAACCGUUUCCCAAAAACUCAAAAGUUAGCAAUCUGAAGAAACCAGGAGGCAUAAAUAAGUCAAACAUGGUUCCAUUAUACCUAAUACAACUCAAUUGCCACUGCAGGUCUUAAGAGUCAUGUUUUUCUCCAAAAGUGAUGAUGUCAUUUCUUAGAAGACGUCAUUACGUAAAUUGUCUGUUUUUGUCCUAGUAAAUUCUUGUAAUGUUCUCCUUUUUAAAACUUGUGUUCUUCUAAUGUUCCUUGGGUGCUUAUAUAUAUCUUCAUAAUUCUUUUUAAAGUUUCUUCUCCUGGCUACCAAAAAACAUUAAUUAAAUAACUAUAAUUAUUAUUUUACUUUGGUGAAUAAACAUGAGUCCCGAUUCAUCUGUUGAUAAUAAUAAAAGAUGGUGUUUUAUCACUGUCAAGAAUUUUCCGAGCUUUGGGUAUAUCUUUAUCUUUAUGUAUUCUUGUGGCACUCAUUUACGUUAGGAACACUCCUAUUUAAUAAGUGAGAAAUCUAUUAGUUAUUUAUUGCAAAUAACAGAAGAUGGUGUAACGUUGCUGGACUUGCCAUUGAAAUUCUACACCAUUGUUGAGGUCACAAUAAGGAUAGAUUGGUUGACGAUACAUUGUCUUAAAAGAACUUCUCUGUCACGUAACUGUGAUUUAUCACCAGCCCCUAUAGAGUUUAAGUCAAAAAAGUCAAUGCUAACCUCAAUGGUGGAAGUGCUCUUUCUUGUAAUUCUGAUUCGACAUGCUUCAUUUGGGUGAGUAAUCUGAUGAUAGCUAUAAAAUUUGGAGGUCAAUUACUUUUAAGUUUGAAAGAUCAAGUUCAUUCUUAUUCGAACUAUAAAGUAUAGACAUACCUCGGCGUUGUUUAUCUUUCACAACCCGUUCUUGUAAUGUUUCCUUUCUAGCGAACAUGAAGUAGUAAUCCGGAAAUCAUUCCAAUGAUCCUUUUGGUUCGUUUGCCUUUGUAUUGCACAAAAAAAUAGUUUCAAUGCUCAGUUAGUGAUAGUUUGUGGAUUCCACAACCUUAAAAUUACUAAGUUCAUCAAAAUAUUUCUCAUUUUUUUGUCAAGAAGUGUUUAUCAAAUUCCUCCAAAUAGUAGCAUGAUUUUAUCUUUCAGAAUAUUAAUAGCAGCAUGAAUUGUUUGGCCUGUCAAAACAAUCAAAAUAUGCUUAGCACUAGUUGUUUAAAAUGAUAGAACAAUUUUCAUUUAAAUAUUUGAUGAAUAAACCUUUUCGUCCAUGCACAUCAGUGUUAGGAUUGAUAUUCUCACUACUUUCACUUCAGUGUUCCAGUUUGGUCCUGUAUUGUUAAGGCGCUAAGAUUCUAGCAUGCUAUUGUGUUCUGGCUGCAAAUGGGAUUAGAAAUUGUUAGUCAAUUGAUAAUGCACCUAUGAAGAUUUCUUCAUGAAUAAGUGAAUUCAGUUAAUAAUAUUACGUACCAUGGUGAUUUAGGACUCACCGGUCAGUCGUCGAGUUUGCGCGCCAAGUCAUGGUUUUGGCUGAUUUUGAUAUUUUCUCAGCGUCAGAAAUCAGCAGCCUUCCGGUUAACAGACUUUCGGUUGCUGAAUCUGAAUCAGCAUACUUCAAUUUUGGUGGUGUGCUGGUG